rnacentral:misc_RNA from 1 species
CUACACUAUCAUGAGUUUUAUUAGCAACAAAAUCCACUAUGCAUUUGAACAAAACAAACUCACAAUUCUCGGAAACUACUAACAACCCAUGACCCCAAAACUUGGUCAACCUUUGAAUCACAUCUCAACACUCCCCCUUGAUUCAAAAUUGAACACACCAAGUAAUGAUCUGAAGUAGAUAUACUUCUGACUUAGAAGUGUCUUUGUGAAUAUAUUUGCCACUUAUUCAUCUGUAUUGCAAAACUUCAAUAUAAUCUCCCCUUUUGCUACAAGCUUACAAAUAAAAUGAAAGUGAAUGUCUAAGUGCUUCGUUCUUCCAUGGAAUGCAGGAUUUUUAGUCAUUGCAAUUGUGGAUUUGUUGUCACAAAAAAUUUCAGUUGCAUUCUCUUGCUUUUGAUGAAGAUCAGCAAGCAUUCUUUGAAGCCAUAUGCAUUGACAAGCUGAGGAAGUAACUACUACAUACUCUGCCUCUGAAGACGACAAUGUCGGUGUAGCUUGUUUCUUUGAACUCCAAGUAAUUACACCUGAAUCAAGACUGAAAACAUGGCCUGAAGUGCUCUUCCUAUCAUCCAAAGAGCUUGCCCAAUCACUAUCAGUAUACCCAUACAAUUUGAAAUCAGAAACAUGAGUACCAGAUGCCAUAAUCUAGAGUUCCAGCAAUAUAACGCAAGAUCCUUUUUGCAGCUCCAAAAUGAUG